AUUGAACGCUGGCGGCAGGCCUAACACAUGCAAGUCGAACGAGUGGCGGACGGGUGAGUAACGUCUGGGACACUGCCUGAUGGAGGGGGGUAACUACUGGAAACGGUAGCUAAUACCGCAUACCAUCAGAUGUGCCCAGAUGGGAUUAGCUAGUAGGUGGGGUAACGGCUCACCUAGGCGACGAUCCCUCGCUGGUCUGAGAGGAUGACCAGCAACACUGGAACUGAGACACGGUCCAGACUCCUACGGGAGGCAGCAGUGGGGAAUAUUGCACAAUGGGCGCAAGCCUGAUGCAGCCAUGCCGCGUGUAGGAAGAAGGCCUUCGGGUUGUAAAGUACUUUCAGCGGGGAGGCGUUACCCGCAGAAGAAGCACCGGCUAACUCCGUGCCAGCAGCCGCGGUAAUUC
rnacentral:rRNA from 1 species